AUUGAACGCUGGCGGCAGGACUAACACAUGCAAGUCGAACGAGUGGCGGACGGGUGAGUAAUGUCUGGGAAACUGCCCGAUGGAGGGGGAUAACUACUGGAAACGGUAGCUAAUACCGCAUACCAUCUGAUGUGCCCAGAUGGGAUUAGCUUGUCGGUGAGGUAACGGCUCACCUAGGCGACGCUCCCUAGCUGGUCUGAGAGGAUGACCAGCAAAACUGUAACGGAGACACGGUCCAGACUCCUACGGGAGGCAACAGUGGAGAAUAUUGCCAAAUGGGCGCAAGCCUGAGGCAGCCAUGCCGCGUGUAUGAAGAAGGCCUUCGGGUUGUAAAGUACUUUCAGCGGGGAGGCGUUACCCGCAGAAGAAGAACAGGCUAACUCCGUGCCAGCCGCCGCGGUAAUAC
rnacentral:rRNA from 1 species